UAAGUAGAAGCCAAAUUAGAGGCACUUAACUGUUAAUUAAACCAUUGUCAACACCCUGACCUACUUAG
rnacentral:tRNA from 1 species